GGAGUUUUUUGAUUACUAUUUUAAUUUCAUUAACUGUAAUCAGUUUAUUCAGAUUUUUCUGAUUCUUCCUGUAUGGAAGACUGUAUGCGUCUAGGAGUUUAUCCAUUUUGUCCUAGUUUCCCAAGAGCUUUUGUUUCUUAUUUUCAAAUGAUUCCUUAUUAAGACUUACCAAGUAUAUUCAAUAAAAUGAUUGUAUAUAUGUCCAUCUUCCUGACCAGACAGUUAACUUCCUGAGGGUAGGGACACUGCUUCAUUUAUCUUGAGAUUCUUAGCAAUUGGUCUAGUUGUGGUAGACUGAUAAUAUAUAUUUGAAUGAAUGAAAACUAACUUCAUUUUUUAAUGCCUUUUUUAACAAAGAGCUUAGGAAAUUACAAAGUUGGUGUUGCUUUCAUAAUUGGUAAUAAAACAUUAGGUCUUCCAGUAACAUAUUUGUAUUUUAAUAAGGGCUUUCGGGAAUCAAUUCUUUGAGAUACAGGACUAGCCAUAAAAGGAGGAAUUUAUCAGUAUUGGAUUUCACAGGGAGAUAUUUGGGGAGCCUUUCACUGUUUCUGAAAUUAUAACCUACCUCUGUCCAGGGCCACCGGGGUGUAGAGCCACCAUCAGGAGGAACUGGCUGAGGGAUAGAAGAACUUCCCUUCAGAGACUGAUGAAGUGGGAUCUAGGGCUGGGACUUCACUGCCUGGAACUGCAUUUACUUCCUUCCAAAUAGUUUUAUAUAAGCACAGAUCAUCCAGGAAAAACAGAAAUAUUCUAAGUGAAACCAAUCAAAACACCAAGUCACUUGAGAUGAUAUCAUGGUGGGAAAGUUCACUUUGUGAAUCAGUGUAUUGCUCUUUAAACAUUGUUGUCUCUAAUAAUGCACGCUUAUACUUUCUGUGUUGGUAUUACUGAUCAAAUGGCACUUAAGAGGCAUCAAAUAAACACUUCUUUUCUAUGGCAUUAAUUAAAGAGGAUGUUGUCAUAUUAAAGUUGAGACCUCACUACAGGAAAAUCAAAUGAAAUGGAUCAUUGAGAUUAGCCUGAGAUGAAUGUUUCCCUCCCUCAAAUUUAACCUUCUAAGAUUUUUAGGUCAUGUAAUUCGUGAUCUCCCCUUUUAAUAAUGAAGUGUACAUUUUUCCUUCUUUUCUUCCCUCUUUACAGUAUUAUAUGAGUAAGCCUCCCCCUUUUUUGGUUACACCAAGACUUGCUCUUUUUUUGGUUGGUUAAACCAGGGCAGUGAAAUUCAUUUCUCAAGCAGCCAUCUUCAUUAACUGGCAUUUUUGUUGAGGUAGAUACCUUUGAGAACAUCAGCCUUCACUGGAUGUUUAAGGCAAGACUUCUUUGAGACAAAGCUUUAAACAGGGAGUGCAUCUUUCUUAGUACUCUUUCUGGUAAAUGGGCCAGGCAUGAGAGGCUAGCCUUGGUUGAGAACUUAACAAAUUCUGCUUGUAGUUUAAGGUGAUGUUCUUUUUAAUGUUCAAUGUAAUUAUAAUAGGAUAGGGGUGCAGUGUAGACAUGUUGGAUAAACACAUAAACUUACAGAUGUUUAAAAGAAUCUAUGCUUAUUCCUCCCUUGUGAAAAUGUUGCUCAGCUCUAAUAAAACAUAUAUGUACUAUCCUCCAGAGACUCUAAGAACAUAAAUGGAGGUUAAACAGCUGGACAGAAUGCCAAUGUUUUAAAAUACAGCUGUGAAUCAAAGUUAGAAAGCAAAAAGACCUUUUUACCUUCAAAGGUAGCCAAUUAAGUUGCAAACACUAUUGACAAUAGUUGCUUUAUUCAGAGCCUUAUUAUAUAAAACACCAUGCUGUCUUGAAACUGAAGAGGUUGCUGAGAAGUCGUCUCCAUAAUCCAUAAUUGAAAGAAUCAUAAAUGUAACAAUUAUUUCCCUCUAUGAUUGCUUUCACAAUUUCUUGUUCUCUGCAGGAUCCUUGUUGUUUUUUUCCCCCUUUCAUCUCACUGCAACAAUCAAGCAAUUAUAGUGUGAUUCAUAUUUAAGAUUAAAUUUUGCAUGUCUACUGUGGUAUAAUAGUCUCUAUUUUUUCAUAACUGUGAACUAUGUUUAUGUAAUUAAUCAACUUUUUAACUAAGUACUAUUGAUUGCAAUAUAUGCUUUAUAAGUAAUAUCUAUUUGGCCUAAAUUUUAUAGAUUUUGUCAAUCCAUGGUUUAGAAUAAAGCAAUGUGAUUAAUUUGAAGAUGGACAUAAACAGUAUGACAUGCAAAUUGGGAAAACUAUUCUAUAUGAUGGAAAAGAGAUAAGAAAUAAAAACAAUUCUCAUGUGGUGUAUUUUAAUCUAAUCUUUAAAAAUUUCUGUCAGCCUCCAGAAGCUAUUUCUGGCUUUAAGUACUUUAAAAUGUUAGUAAUGAUCUAAAUGAAGAUGUUAGCACUUCUCAGGUUCGAUAUUGUCAUUCUGUAGAUAUCAUGCAGUGACAGAGGACUCUUAACAAAAAUCUUUUUUUUUUCUUCCCUACAUUUAAGAAGUUCAGGAGACUGGCCAGAUUUUCUGGGAAACUCUGACUUAAAGGUUGAGUUUAAGGAGAGGGGAGAAGCUCUCUCUUCUUGCCCACCCCUCACUCACCCUCUGUCUAGUGGAGAGAAGAGGGAGUGAGAGCAGGCAUGGAAGAGGGAAGGAAGAACUGAGGGGGAGCGAGCGAGCAUUCCAGAGACUCCCAGGCACUUUGGACAAGUGAAGUGAAAGAUCUCCACAUCUACUACCCCUAGGAGAAUGAAGUUGGCCUACUUGAAUUUGAUGAGGUUGACUAUUAUGUGACCAAGGAGGACAUAAAUCAUGGCAUCUGAAGACCAUCCUGAAUUCAAAAGAAUGUGCGAUUAAGUUAUUUUGAAAGAAACGACCUUGUGAGGACACAAUGAGAAGGCAAGGACACUGCGAGCCAAGGAGAGAAGACUCAACAGAAACCAACCCUGCUGGCACCUUGCUUUUGGAAUUCCAGCUCCCAUAACUGUGAAAAAAUAAAUUUCUGUUGUU